CUACAGGCUUAACACAUGCAAGUCGAGGGGCAUCAGGAAGAAAGCUUGCUUUCUUUGCUGGCGACCGGCGCACGGGUGAGUAACACGUAUCCAACCUGCCCUUUACUCGGGGAUAGCCUUUCGAAAGAAAGAUUAAUACCCGAUGGCAUAAUGAUUCCGCAUGGUUUCAUUAUUAAAGGAUUCCGGUAAAGGAUGGGGAUGCGUUCCAUUAGGUUGUUGGUGAGGUAACGGCCCACCAAGCCUUCGAUGGAUAGGGGUUCUGAGAGGAAGGUCCCCCACAUUGGAACUGAGACACGGUCCAAACUCCUACGGGAGGCAGCAGUGAGGAAUAUUGGUCAAUGGGCGGUAGCCUGAACCAGCCAAGUAGCGUGAAGGAUGAAGGCUCUAUGGGUCGUAAACUUCUUUUAUAUAAGAAUAAAGUGCAGUAUGUAUACUGUUUUGUAUGUAUUAUAUGAAUAAGGAUCGGCUAACUCCGUGCCAGCAGCCGCGGUAAUACGGAGGAUCCGAGCGUUAUCCGGAUUUAUUGGGUUUAAAGGGAGCGUAGGUGGACUGGUAAGUCAGUUGUGAAAGUUUGCGGCUCAACCGUAAAAUUGCAGUUGAUACUGUCAGUCUUGAGUACAGUAGAGGUGGGCGGAAUUCGUGGUGUAGCGGUGAAAUGCUUAGAUAUCACGAAGAACUCCGAUUGCGAAGGCAGCUCACUGGACUGCAACUGACACUGAUGCUCGAAAGUGUGGGUAUCAAACAGGAUUAGAUACCCCUGGUAGUCCACACAGUAAACGAUGAAUACUCGCUGUUUGCGAUAUACAGUAAGCGGCCAAGCGAAAGCAUUAAGUAUUCCACCUGGGGAGUACGCCGGCAACGGUGAAACUCAAAGGAAUUGACGGGGGCCCGCACAAGCGGAGGAACAUGUGGUUUAAUUCGAUGAUACGCGAGGAACCUUACCCGGGCUUAAAUUGCAGUGGAAUGAUGUGGAAACAUGUCAGUGAGCAAUCACCGCUGUGAAGGUGCUGCAUGGUUGUCGUCAGCUCGUGCCGUGAGGUGUCGGCUUAAGUGCCAUAACGAGCGCAACCCUUAUCUUCAGUUACUAACAGGUCAUGCUGAGGACUCUGGAGAGACUGCCGUCGUAAGAUGUGAGGAAGGUGGGGAUGACGUCAAAUCAGCACGGCCCUUACGUCCGGGGCUACACACGUGUUACAAUGGGGGGUACAGAAGGCAGCUAGCGGGUGACCGUAUGCUAAUCCCAAAAGCCUCUCUCAGUUCGGAUCGAAGUCUGCAACCCGACUUCGUGAAGCUGGAUUCGCUAGUAAUCGCGCAUCAGCCACGGCGCGGUGAAUACGUUCCCGGGCCUUGUACACACCGCCCGUCAAGCCAUGGGAGCCGGGGGUACCUGAAGUACGUAACCACAAGGAUCGUCCUAGGGUAAAACUGGUGACUGGGGCC
rnacentral:rRNA from 1 species